GACGUAGGAUGCGAGCGUUAUUCGGAUUUAUUGGGCGUAAAGCGUGCGCAGGCGGCUGUUUAAGUCUGGUGUUAAAGCUAGGGGCUCAACCCCUGUGGUGCAUCGGAUACUGGGCAGCUUGAGUGCGGUAGGGGAAGGUGGAAUUCCGAGUGUAGCGGUGAAAUGCGUAGAUAUUCGGAAGAACACCGGUGGCGAAGGCGACCUUCUGGGCCGCAACUGACGCUGAGGCACGAAAGCCUGGGGAGCGAACGGG
rnacentral:rRNA from 1 species